GAGUGCCAGCAGCCGCCGUAAUACGGAGGGGGCAAGCGUUGUUCGGAUUUACUGGGCGUAAAGGGCUCGUAGGCGGCCGCUUGUGUCGGUUGUGAAAUCCCUCGGCUCAACCGAGGAACUGCGACCGAAACUGAGCGGCUUGAAGCCGGGAGAGGGAUGCGGAAUUUCAGGUGUAGCGGUGAAAUGCGUAGAUAUCUGAAGGAACACCCGUGGGAAGGCGGCAUCCUGGACCGGUCUUGACGCUGAGGAGCGAAAGCUAGGGUAGCAAACGGGAUUAGAUACCCCGGUAGUCCUAGCCCUAAACGAUAAAUGCUUGGUGUGGCGGGUAUCGAUCCCUGCCGUGCCGGAGCUAACGCGUUAAGCAUUCCGCCUGGGGAGUACGGUCGCAAGGCUGAAACUUAAAUAAAUUGGCGG
rnacentral:rRNA from 1 species